ACUGGGCGUGGUGGCGUGCGCCUGUAAUCCUAGCUACUCAGGAGGUUGAAGGCAGGAGAAUCGCUUGAACCCGGGAGGCCGAGGUUGCAGUGAGCUGAGAUCAUGUCACUGCACUCCAGCCUGGGUAACAGAGUGAGUCUCUGUCUCAA
rnacentral:SRP_RNA from 1 species